ACGCGUUGGGAGCUCUCCCAUAUGGUCGACCUGCAGGCGGCCGCGAAUUCACUAGUGAUUCGUAUUACCGCGGCUGCUGGCACGGAGUUAGCCGGAGCUUAUUCUCCCGGUACUGUCAUUAUCAUCCCGGGUAAAAGAGCUUUACAACCCUAAGGCCUUCAUCACUCACGCGGCAUUGCUGGAUCAGGCUUUCGCCCAUUGUCCAAUAUCCCCCACUGCUGCCUCCCGUAGGAGUCUGGGCCGUGUCUCAGUCCCAGUGUGGCUGAUCAUCCUCUCAGACCAGCUAAGGAUCGUCGCCUUGGUGCGCCUUUACCACACCAACUAGCUAAUCCUACGCGGGCUCAUCCUCAGGCGAUAAAUCUUUGAUCUCGCGAUAUCAUCCGGUAUUAGCAGCAAUUUCUCGCUGUUAUUCCGAACCUGAGGGCAGAUUCCCACGCGUUACGCACCCGUGCGCCACUAAGGCCGAAGCCUUCGUUCGACUUGCAUGUGUUAGGCAUGCCGCCAGCGUUCAUUCUGAGCCAUGAUCAAACUCUAAUCGAAUUCCCGCGGCCGCCAUGGCG
rnacentral:rRNA from 1 species